GUACACUCCUACGGGAGGCAGCAGUGGGGAAUAUUGCACAAUGGGCGCAAGCCUGAUGCAGCCAUGACGCGUGUAUGAAGAAGGCCUUCGGGUUGUAAAGUACUUUCAGCGGGGAGGAAGGCGAUAAGGUUAAUAACCUUGUUGAUUGACGUUACCCGCAGAAGAAGCACCGGCUAACUCCGUGCCAGCAGCCGCGGUAAUACGGAGGGUGCAAGCGUUAAUCGGAAUUACUGGGCGUAAAGCGCACGCAGGCGGUCUGUCAAGUCGGAUGUGAAAUCCCCGGGCUCAACCUGGGAACUGCAUUCGAAACUGGCAGGCUAGAGUCUUGUAGAGGGGGGUAGAAUUCCAGGUGUAGCGGUGAAAUGCGUAGAGAUCUGGAGGAAUACCGGUGGCGAAGGCGGCCCCCUGGACAAAGACUGACGCUCAGGUGCGAAAGCGUGGGGAGCAAACAGGAUUAGAAACCCGUGUAGUCCCAUGA
rnacentral:rRNA from 1 species